rnacentral:rRNA from 1 species
GAUGAACGCUGGCGGCGUGCCUAAUACAUGCAAGUCGAGCGAACGGACGGGAAGCUUGCUUCUCUGAUGUUAGCGGCGGACGGGUGAGUAACACGUGGAUAACCUACCUAUAAGACUGGGAUAACUUCGGGAAACCGGAGCUAAUACCGGAUGAUAUUUUGAACCGCAUGGUUCAAAAGUGAAAGACGGUCUUGCUGUCACUUAUAGAUGGAUCCGCGCUGCAUUAGCUAGUUGGUAAGGUAACGGCUUACCAAGGCAACGAUGCAUAGCCGACCUGAGAGGGUGAUCGGCCACACUGGAACUGAGACACGGUCCAGACUCCUACGGGAGGCAGCAGUAGGGAAUCUUCCGCAAUGGGCGAAAGCCUGACGGAGCAACGCCGCGUGAGUGAUGAAGGUCUUCGGAUCGUAAAACUCUGUUAUUAGGGAAGAACAUAUGUGUAAGUAACUGUGCACAUCUUGACGGUACCUAAUCAGGAAGCCACGGCUAACUACGUG